GACGAACGCUGGCGGCGUGCUUAACACAUGCAAGUCGAACGGUGAAGCGCCUUCCUUUUUGGUGGGUGGGGAGGAGUGGCGAACGGGUGAGUAACACGUGAGUAACCUGCCCCCUUCUUCUGGAUAACGGCAUGAAAGUGUGGACAAUACGGGAUAUCCUGGUGCUGGCGCAGGAUUGGUCUGGGAAGGAGGUUGGGUCGGGGGGGGAGGGGCUCGCGGCCUAUCAGCUGGUUGGGGGGGUGAUGGCCUACCAAGGGGGUGACGGGUCGCCGGCCUGGGAGGGUGGUCGGUCUCACUGGGACUGAGGCACGGCCGGGACUCCUACGGGAGGCAGCCGUGGGCAGUAGUGCACAGUGGGGGCAAGCCUGCUGCAGCGGCACCGCGUGUGCGAUGGCGGCGUGCGGGUUGUGACCCCCUUUCGCUAGUGAAGCGGUUCUGCCUCGUUUGUGGGUGGGUUGACGGUAGCUGGAUAAGAAGCGCCGGCUAACUACGUG
rnacentral:rRNA from 1 species